rnacentral:tRNA from 1 species
GCCGUUGUAGCUCAGGGGUAGAGCACUUCCUUGGUAAGGAAGAGGUCGGCAGUUCAAAUCUGCUCAACGGCU